UUUCAGGAUCUGAAAGUGUCCUCUCCAUGGAGAAGAUUUCAACCUGGAAAUGACUGGCACAGAUGAGGACACCAGCACUGCAGAUAAACCCAGCAAGAGGCUGGAGAGCAUAUUGACAUCGUUGUAUUUGCUCCUGAGGGCGUUCAGCGUGACAGGGAGCUGGGAGGCUGAGGUGCUGCUGGGUUUCUUGGAAAGUCUUUUAGGGUGACAGCCUUCCCAGGACUGGGACCUGGACCACAGCUCUGAAAUGAAUGGACCCUCUAGCUCCAGAGCCAAGGGAAGAGCCUGCAUUUCCUGAGGGUUUCACUUAGCCCCAUUUCAAGGGUUCAAGCCAGCUGAAACCCUUAAAUCUGCAGCAUGGUUUUCUCCUUUGGAGCACCAGCUGUCCUCUCCAGUGUUAUUUCCAUGUUGUCCUGCUUUGGGCCAAGGACACAGAGCUACCAAACUGCUCCUGCUCCAACUCACCUGCUGCUGCUUGAUCCUCCUGCCAAGGUCAUCUGUAGGGUCACUGUAGUUCACAGGAGACCUCACUCGGUUCAAGACCUCCUUCUCUACCUGGACCAGGUCCUUGCCAACACGAUCCAGGCUGCUGAGGAGCCGGUCAGCUUGGGGAUCAUCCUGGACUGCUGGAGGGCUCCUGGACAGAGCUGCAGGGAGACAUAGCUCAGGUUAAUCCCAGGUUUUAGCUCUGCCUUGGUGAGCCACAGCUCCAAAGGAGGGAUAAAGCCAAGUUCUGCCAUGCAGACACAUCCCUUCUCAGCUUUGCCUUUGAGCUGCAGCUGUGGGAAUGGCACAGAUAACCCAGGGUUGGGAUUUAGCCACGGCUGUCUGCUCAUCCCACAGCCCCCAGCUAGGGAAGAGAACUGCAAGGGACCCAGAUUACAAAGCAGGCUUAAUUAAUGUUUCUGGAUAGGCACAU